UAGUCUGGUGCCAGCAGCCGCGGUAAGACGGAGGAUGCAAGUGUUAUCCGGAAUCACUGGGCGUAAAGCGUCUGUAGGUGGUUUAGUAAGUCUAUUGUUAAAUCUUGAGGCUCAACUUCAAAUCAGCGAUGGAAACUGCUAGACUAGAGUGUGGUAGAGGUAAGAGGAAUUUCCAGUGGAGCGGUGAAAUGCGUAGAUAUUGGAAAGAACACCGAUGGCGAAGGCAUCUUACUGGGCCAUAACUGACACUCAGAGACGAAAGCUAGGGUAGCAAAUGGGAUUAGAUACCCCAGUAGUCCUAGCAGUAAACGAUGGAUACUAGAUGUUGCCCGUAUCAACCCGUGCAGUGUCAAAGCUAACGCGUUAAGUAUCCCGCCUGGGAAGUAUGCACGCAAGUGUGAAACUCAAAGGAAUUGACGGGGGCCCGCACAAGCGGUGGAGCAUGUGGUUUAAUUUGAUGCAACGCGAAGAACCUUACCAGGGUUUGACAUGACAUGAAUUUUUCUGAGAAGAAAAAGUGCCUUUUAGGAACAUGUACACAGGUGGUGCAUGGCCGUUCUU
rnacentral:rRNA from 1 species